UACGAAGGUGGCAAGCGUUACUCGGAAUUACUAGGCGUAAAGGGCAGGUAGGUGGUUCGGUAAGUCUGUUGUGAAAGCUCCUGGCUUAACUGGGAGAGGUCAACAGAAACUACCGGGCUUGAGUAUAGGAGAGGGUACUGGAAUUCCCGGUGUAGCGGUGAAAUGCGCAGAGAUCGGGAGGAACACCAAUGGCGAAAGCAGGUACCUGGACUAUUACUGACACUCAGCUGCGAAAGCUAGGGGAGCAAACAGG
rnacentral:rRNA from 1 species